AUUGAACGCUGGCGGCAGGCCUAACACAUGCAAGUCGGACGGUAGCACAGAGGAGCUUGCUCCUCGGGUGACGAGUGGCGGACGGGUGAGUAAUGUCUGGGGAUCUGCCCGAUAGAGGGGGAUAACCACUGGAAACGGUGGCUAAUACCGCAUAACGUCGCAAGACCAAAGAGGGGGACCUUCGGGCCUCUCACUAUCGGAUGAACCCAGAUGGGAUUAGCUAGUAGGCGGGGUAACGGCCCACCUAGGGGACGAUCCCUAGCUGGACUGAGGGGAUGACCAGCCACACUGGAACUGGGACACGGUCCAGACUCCUACGGGAGGGAGCGGUGGGGAAUAUUGCACAAUGGGCGCAGGCCUGAUGCAGCCAUGCCGCGUGUAUGAAGAAGGCCUUCGGGUUGUAAAGUACUUUCAGCGGGGAGGAAGGCGAUGUGGUUAAUAACCGCGUCGAUUGACGUUACCCGCAGAAGAAGCACCGGCUAACUCCGUGCCAGCCGCCGCCGUAA
rnacentral:rRNA from 1 species